CGCAGGGCUCGAUCCCACGUAUCAUGAGAUAGCAUCCCGAGCCAAAAUCAAUAGUCUGCCACUUAACCAACCGAGCCACCCAGGCACCCUAGUGCAUUGAUUUUAACACAGAACUAAUUCACUCCUUGUUCACAGAUUGGAGGACAACAGCCUUGAAUUGAACACUAAAGGAGUUUCCCUCGUUUUGGUUUUGUUUUAAUAUUGAAAUACUGCUGACAGAGGCUUCAGCCAGGAUAUCCAGUACCAAAGCCUGGCCUGGGCUUCCCAUGCAGCACAGAGAAGAGCCACGGGUGAAGGGACUGCAGAAUUUCAAAGAAAUGAGACAAGGGUUUGACUUCAAGAUGAGGUUUUAAGAUCAGGAGAGAAGAUAAAGAAGCUUCUUCAAAGCAGAAAAAAACCUGGAAACUCUGCAUCCACUCACUGUAACUUUAGGGGGGAAUGCUCUCCAAGGGUCUACUUUACAAAAAAGACUAAAAACCUUUAGAAAACCGAUGUGGAAAUCCUAAGACUUAGCAGAACUUAUAGAGCAUCCAACCACUCUAUAGGAAGAAAGCCCUGAGAACUCCAACCAGGAAGAACCUCUCAACAUUAGAUUCUCUAAGCACCAGGGGACUCAUUCAGGAAAAGAACCUCACCGGUGCCUCGGCUGUGGGCAAAGCCCCCUUCGUUCAGACUUUUGUAAACACUAAUAUCUCCCAUCAGAGGAGAGAUCCCGUGAAUGCACUACAUCUUAUGGAAAGCAGUGUGACUGUGUUUUAAGAAUAUUAAAAUUUGAGGGGCGCCUGGGUGGCGCAGUCGGUUAAGCGUCCGACUUCAGCCAGGUCACGAUCUCGCGGUCCGUGAGUUCGAGCCCCGCGUCGGGCUCUGGGCUGAUGGCUCAGAGCCUGGAGUCUGUUUCCGAUUCUGUGUCUCCCUCUCUCUCUGCCCCUCCCCCGUUCAUGCUCUGUCUCUCUCUGUCCCAAAAAUAAAUAAAAUGUUGAAAAAAAACAUUUAAAAAAAAAA